rnacentral:rRNA from 1 species
GACGAACGCUGGCGGCGUGCUUAACACAUGCAAGUCGAACGGUAAGGCCCUUUCGGGGGUACACGAGUGGCGAACGGGUGAGUAACACGUGGGUGAUCUGCCCUGCACUUUGGGAUAAGCCUGGGAAACUGGGUCUAAUACCGGAUAGGACUACGCGAUGCAUGUCGUGUGGUGGAAAGCUUUUGCGGUGUGGGAUGGGCCCGCGGCCUAUCAGCUUGUUGGUGGGGUGAUGGCCUACCAAGGCGACGACGGGUAGCCGGCCUGAGAGGGUGUCCGGCCAACCUGGGACUGAGAUACGGCCCAGACUCCUACGGGAGGCAGCAGUGGGGAAUAUUGCACAAUGGGCGCAAGCCUGAUGCAGCGACGCCGCGUGGGGGAUGACGGCCUUCGGGUUGUAAACCCCUUUCAGCACAGACGAAGCGUAAGUGACGGUAUGUGCAGAAGAAGCACCGGCCAACGACG